rnacentral:lncRNA from 1 species
UUGAGGCCACCAUCUUUGACCACCAAAAGUGCAUUCGAAAGUUUGACUUUCAGAUUUAUAAGAAAACUUUAGGCAACCGAACCUACCGUCAAAAGUCUUAUGUCCAGCUAUUUUUAAUCCGUUUUAUGCUUCCUUAUAUGCUUUUAAUGAUUUUUUGGAAUAAUUUUAAGAGCUAUAAAAGUUAUAUUUGAUCUCUCAUUUAAGUCCAUCUGUAUAUGAUUAGAGUUGGAGGACCGUACAAGUCAAUAGUGAAAUAGCUUUUUUAGAGUUAGGCUUGCGCCAGCUAAAAG